ACAGUGUAAGAGCGACCACAGAAACCAGUGACCUUACCCAGGCUUCUACCAUGCCUUCCCCCACUACCACUCUCGGCAACCUCCCGGUGCCCACGAUCAGAACACCCAGCAAUCCAUUCCCACCCCCCAACCAGCCAGCCAGCUAGCUCUGAUCCCCCUCACCUCCAUAGCAAGCACACACACAGACAGCGUGUCCCUACAGAGAGCCCUGAACACAUCCCCUGCAAAUCUUCCAUGAUCCAUUGUUUGCGUGGAUCUCUCUCAUUCAGAAAGCAAAAGCCUCUAACAGGGGGAAGAGAGGUGUGAAAGGAGAUAUUAAACUUACCAGCAGAAGACAAGGCAGCCUGGAAGCUCAGCAAAUGAACAAUAUCCUCUUUUUCUAGGUUUCCACAGGAUAACAAUGGGAUAUGAUGGAGCGACAGCGGAUUGGCACCAAACGAUCAAACGCUUUCAGUCCUCCCAGGAUGCAACGGGCCCAUCCAUAUAUCCCCGCCCACUGGCUCACGCAAGUCAGUUGGAUUCCAAAGCAUUUAGGCAGGAGCAUUAUGCAGAACUCUAUUCAGGAUACAAUCCUGCAGAUGUCGCAACCUGAACUCCAUGGCUGCAGAGGUUUGACAGCACCAGGGAAAUGUAAAAGAAGCAGCCUUCAGCUUCCCUGUGUACACCUGGCUGCUGCAGGGAGGAGCAGCAUAAGAAAAUGUAAAGCCGCAAUGUCAUGAUGGUCCGAUAUAUUGGUCCUCAAUGUUUAAAUUGACGUUUAUAAAAAUGUUUCCUUUAAAACAAAAAAUCAUGUUGAAUAUGUUGUAAAUAGACUCGUCAAUUUCUGUCUAUUUUCCGGAAAAAAAGUAUUAGCCACUUAAGUGGUUAAGAAACAAGAAAUAUACAUUAACACUCAUUAUUAUGAAUGACUUAUAUACAGUAUGUCAUAAAAAGGUGAUUGACAAAAAUGGCCUAUUUUGGGUAUUUGACCUGGCUAUAAAGCAUAUAUUGAUUCAUUCCUUGGUUUGUUACCUAACCUUAGUAAAUAACUGAAUGAUAUUGAACUGUAUUUUUACACUGCGUUUUGUGUCCUCAAGUCCUUUUAAGUAUA